GUUUAAAUGAAGCUUCAGUAAAUAAAUAAAGACGCUAAAUUUGUUGUAGAAAUUCUACACACACUGGACACCAGAAGCUCCUUCUCCUCCAUCUGCAUGUUGUGGAUCAGCGUCUGUGUGGGUCUCCACUCUGGAGAAUCAGUGAUCAGUGUAUCUGGUGAAGAACGAUCUACACAAUAAAUGAUGAUCUGCGGCAGAAGCUACGCGACCUCGGCGUGCUCCGAGAACCAGGCCUCCAGACCUCGGCAUCGCCUGCGGCGGACGGACGGAGGAGGGGGAAUCGAAAGCGCUGCGCGAGGAAGCGCGGAAAGCGAGCGGGUGCUAAUGCUAGGCUAAAAGCUAACCCUAGCCGGCCCGCUCUACCAUCUCUACUGCUGGCAAAUGUCUGCUCCCUGGACAAUAAAUUAGACUACAUCAGACUCCAUCGAGCUAUUUGGCGUGAGUACAGAUACUGAGACGUGGCUGAGCAACAGAGUUCCGGACGCCGCCGUUCAGCUGCACGGGCUAGCCGCGUUUCGUGCCGACAGAAAUGCAGCUCUGUGCGGUAAGACUCGCGGCGGCGGUCUGUGUGUUUACAUCAACACGGAAUGGUGUAAGAACUCUGUGCUUGU